rnacentral:rRNA from 1 species
GACGAACGCUGGCGGCGUGCUUAACACAUGCAAGUCGAACGGAAAGGCCCUGCUUUUGUGGGGUGCUCGAGUGGCGAACGGGUGAGUAACACGUGAGUAACCUGCCCUUGACUUUGGGAUAACUUCAGGAAACUGGGGCUAAUACCGGAUAGGAGCUCCUGCUGCAUGGUGGGGGUUGGAAAGUUUCGGCGGUUGGGGGUGGACUCGCGGCGUAUCAGCUUGUUGGUGGGGUAGUGGCUUACCAAGGCUUUGACGGGUAGCCGGCCUGAGAGGGUGACCGGCCACAUUGGGACUGAGAUACGGCCCAGACUCCUACGGGAGGCAGCAGUGGGGAAUAUUGCACAAUGGGCGGAAGCCUGAUGCAGCAACGCCGCGUGCGGGAUGACGGCCUUCGGGUUGUAAACCGCUUCCGCCUGUGACGAAGCGUGAGUGACGGUAAUGGGUAAAGAAGCACCGGCUAACUACGUG